AUUGAACGCUGGCGGCAUGCUUUACACAUGCAAGUCGAACGGUAACAGGCCUUCGGGUGCUGACGAGUGGCGAACGGGUGAGUAAUGCAUCGGAACGUGCCCAGAGGUGGGGGAUAACGCAGCGAAAGCUGUGCUAAUACCGCAUGUGAUCUGAGGAUGAAAGCGGGGGACCAGGCAGCAAUGUUUGGCCUCGCGCCUUUGGAGCGGCCGAUGUCAGAUUAGGUAGUUGGUGGGGUAAAGGCCUACCAAGCCGACGAUCUGUAGCUGGUCUGAGAGGACGACCAGCCACACUGGGACUGAGACACGGCCCAGACUCCUACGGGAGGCAGCAGUGGGGAAUUUUAGACAAUGGGCGCAAGCCUGAUCCAGCAAUGCCGCGUGCGGGAAGAAGGCCUUCGGGUUGUAAACCGCUUUUGUACGGAACGAAAAGGCUCUGGCUAAUACCUGGGGCUGAUGACGGUACCGUAAGAAUAAGCACCGGCUAACUACGUG
rnacentral:rRNA from 1 species